GAUGAACGCUGGCGGCGUGCCUAAUACAUGCAAGUCGAGCGAAUAGACGAGGAGCUUGCUCCUCUGACGUUAGCGGCGGACGGGUGAGUAACACGUGGAUAACCUACCUAUAAGACUGGGAUAACUUCGGGAAACCGGAGCUAAUACCGGAUAACAUGUUGAACCGCAUGGUUCAACAGUGAAAGACGGUCUUGCUGUCACUUAUGCAUGGAUCCGCGCGGCAUUAGCUAGUUGGUAAGGUAACGGCUUACCAAGGCAACGAUGCGUAGCCGACCUGAGAGGGUGAUCGGCCACACUGGAACUGAGACACGGUCCAGACUCCUACGGGAGGCAGCAGUAGGGAAUCUUCCGCAAUGGGCGAGAGCCUGACGGAGCAACGCCGCGUGAGUGAAGAAGGUCUUCGGAUCGUAAAACUCUGUUAUUAGGGAAGAACAAAUGUGUAAGUAACUAUGCACGUCUUGACGGCACCUAAUCAGAAAGCCACGGCUAACUACGUG
rnacentral:rRNA from 1 species